GAACUAAUCUGGCAGAAGAGAUACUCCAAUCAAGAUGGUCGUUUCCCUACAACAAGGCUCUUCCUUUGCACUUCAGCUGGGUUUCACCCUUCUGAUUUCCAAAAAUGUGGGAAAUUCAACUGCAUACUUUAUGGUAGUGGAGACAGUCAUGCUGUGCUCUAG